rnacentral:tRNA from 1 species
GCCUGGGUGGCUCAGUCGGUUGAGCGUCUGACUCCAGCUCAGGUCAUGAUCUCACGGUUCAUGGGUUCGAGCCCCACAUCAGGCU